rnacentral:ncRNA from 2 species
AAACACAGCCCAUUCUCAGGCGCUCGCAAGAGCUUAAUAGGGAACUCCGUGUGAAUCGGAGACAGGCCCGCUGCUGUAUUCGGGGACGACCGCUGCAUUUUGAGUCACUGACCUUGUUGUCGGGAAGACGCAGCCAGUAGGAUGAUCCGUGAGUCAGAAGACCUGCCUUGAGAAUUGAGCGAAU